GGGAGGCAGCAGUGGGGAAUAUUGCACAAUGGGGGGAAACCCUGAUGCAGCAACGCCGCGUGCGGGAUGACGGCCUUCGGUUGUAACGCUUCAGCAGGGGCGGAAUUCAGACGGUACCUGCAGAAGAAGCACCGGCUAACUACGUGCCAGCAGCCGCGGUGAUACGUAGGGUGCGAGCGUUGUCCGGAUUUAUUGGGCGUAAAGAGCUCGUAGGUGGUUUGUUGCGUCGGAAGUGAAAACCCAGGGCUUAACUUUGGGCUUGCUUUCGAUACGGGCAGACUUGAGGAAGGUAGGGGAGAACGGAAUUCCUGGUGGAGCGGUGGAAUGCACAGAUAUCAGGAGGAACACCGGUGGCGAAGGCGGUUCUCUGGACCUUUCCUGACGCUGAGGAGCGAAAGCGUGGGGAGCAACAGGCUUAGAUACCCUGGUAGUCCACGCCGUAACGGUAGGGCGACUAGGUGUGGGGG
rnacentral:rRNA from 1 species